GAGCCAUGCGGUGAGCACAAAGCGAAUUAUUCUUUCGCCUUUUACUAAAGAAUACCGUGUGUGCACUGCUAAUAUUGGCAUACGCUUAUUUUUAGAGGGUACUUAAAUAAGAAGUGCC